rnacentral:rRNA from 1 species
CCCUUAGAUGUCCGGGGCCGCACGCGCGCUACACUGAAGGAAUCAGCGUGGCUUUCUCCCUGACCCGAAAGGGUUGGGAAACCCGUUGAAUCUCCUUCGUGAUAGGGAUUGGGGCUUGAAAUUGUUCCCCAUGAACGAGGAAUUCCCAGUAAGCGCGAGUCAUAAGCUCGCGUUGAUUACGUCCCUGCCCUUUGUACACACCGCCCGUCGCUCCUACCGAUUGAAUGGUCCGGUGAAGCGUUUGGACUAUGGUUUUCUGAUGGUCCGCCGUUGGAUUACCGUGGGAAGUUCGUUAAACCUUAUCAUUUAGAGGAAGGAGAAGUCGUAACA